CCUACGGGUGGCAGCAGUGAGGAAUAUUGGUCAAUGGACGAGAGUCUGAACCAGCCAAGUAGCGUGAAGGAUGACUGCCCUAUGGGUUGUAAACUUCUUUUAUAUGGGAGUAAAAUGUUCCACGUGUGGGAUUUUGUAUGUAACAUAUGAAUAAGGAGCGGCUAACUCCGUGCCAGCAGCCGCGGUAAUACGGAGGAUCCGAGCGUUAUCCGGAUUUAUUGGGUGUAGAGGGAGCGUAGGUGGAUUGUUAAGUCAGUUGUGAAAGUUUGCGGCUCAACCGUAAAAUUGCAGUUGAAACUGGCAGGCUUGAGUACAGUAGAGGUGGGCGGAAUUCGUGGUGUAGCGGUGAAAUGCUUAGAUAUCACGAAGAACUCCGAUUGCGAAGGCAGCUCACUGGACUGCAACUGACACUGAGGCUCGAAAGUGUGGGUAUCAAACAGGAUUAGAUACCCGAGUAGUC
rnacentral:rRNA from 1 species